CUCCUACGGGAGGCAGCAGUGAGGAAUAUUGGUCAAUGGACGAGAGUCUGAACCAGCCAAGUAGCGUGAAGGAUGAAGGUUCUAUGGAUUGUAAACUUCUUUUAUACGGGAAUAAACGAAUCCACGCGUGGAUUUUUGCAUGUACCGUAUGAAUAAGGAUCGGCUAACUCCGUGCCAGCAGCCGCGGUAAUACGGAGGAUCCGAGCGUUAUCCGGAUUUAUUGGGUUUAAAGGGAGCGUAGAUGGGUUGUUAAGUCAGUUGUGAAAGUUUGCGGCUCAACCGUAAAAUUGCAAUUGAUACUGGCAGUCUUGAGUACAGUUGAGGUAGGCGGAAUUCGUGGUGUAGCGGUGAAAUGCUUAGAUAUCACGAAGAACUCCGAUUGCGAAGGCAGCUUACUAACCUGUAACUGACAUUGAUGCUCGAAAGUGUGGGUAUCAAACAGGAUUAGAUACCCUGGUAGUCCACACGGUAAACGAUGAAUACUCGCUGUAGGCGAUAUACAGUCUGCGGCCAAGCGAAAGCAUUAAGUAUUCCACCUGGGGAGUACGCCGGCAACGGUGAAACUCAAAGGAAUUGACGGGGGCCCGCACAAGCGGAGGAACAUGUGGUUUAAUUCGAUGAUACGCGAGGAACCUUACCCGGGCUUAAAUUGCAACCGAAUAUGGCGGAAACGCUAUAGCUAGCAAUAGCGGUUGUGAAGGUGCUGCAUGGUUGUCGUCAGCUCGUGCCGUGAGGUGUCGGCUUAAGUGCCAUAACGAGCGCAACCCUUGCCGAUAGUUACUAACAGGUUAUGCUGAGGACUCUGUCGGGACUGCCAUCGUAAGAUGUGAGGAAGGUGGGGAUGACGUCAAAUCAGCACGGCCCUUACGUCCGGGGCUACACACGUGUUACAAUGGGGGGUACAGAGGGCUGCUACCACGCAAGUGGAUGCCAAUCCCAAAAACCUCUCUCAGUUCGGAUUGAAGUCUGCAACCCGACUUCAUGAAGCUGGAUUCGCUAGUAAUCGCGCAUCAGCCACGGCGCGGUGAAUACGUUCCCGGGCCUUGUACACACCGC
rnacentral:rRNA from 1 species